GACUGGGCUGAAAUUCUGAAUUUUUUUUAG
rnacentral:piRNA from 1 species